GACGAACGCUGGCGGCGUGCCUAAUACAUGCAAGUCGAACGCAGUGGGGAAGGGUGAGUAACACGUGGGUAACCUCCCAUCAGAGGGGAUAACACUUGGAAACAGGUGCUAAACCGAUACUGCUGGAUGGACCCGCGGUUCAUUAGCUAGUUGGUGAGGUAACGGCUGACCUAGGCGACGAUCCAUAGCUGGGCUGAGAGGAUGAGCAGCCACACUGGAACGGAGACACGGCCCAGACUCCUACGGGAGGCAGCAGUGGGGAAUAUUGCACAAUGGGCGAAAGCCUGAUGGAGCCAUGCCGCGUGAAUGAAGAAGGCCUUCGGGUUGUAAAGUACUUUCAGUCGGGAGGCGUUACCGACAGAAGAAGCACCGGCUAACUCCGUGCCAGCAGCCGCGGUAAUAC
rnacentral:rRNA from 1 species